rnacentral:tRNA from 1 species
GGANAAUGGCCUUCCUUCCUCACUGUCAAAGAACGAACUAACGCACUCAGUCUUCCGAGUGGGCAGUGAUCAAUAGCACUUUAACUUUUACUUCCUACAUCCCUAAAGCGUUAUUCAGCACUGCACACUACAUCCUAAAUCCCUUCUCUACCGCUUCCCCAGCGACCAGCCCGCGCUCUUUGCGGGCCUUCCAUCCCUGUGGUGGAGCUGACCGGUCUCGAACCGGUGACCCCCUGCUUGCAAAGCAGGUGCUCUCCCAACUGAGCUACAGCCCCAUUUGGUGGGCCCAAGUGGACUCGAACCACUGACCUCACGAUUAUCAGUCGUGUGCUCUAGCCAGCUGAGCUAUAGGCCCAAUUCCUUACCAGGGUGGCGUGA